UACGGGGGGGGGCAAGCGUUGUUCGGAAUUACUGGGCGUAAAGGGCUCGUAGGUGGCCAACUAAGUCAGACGUGAAAUCCCUCAGCUUAACGGGGAACUGCGUCUGAUACUGGAUGGCUUGAGUUGGGAGAGGGAUGCGGAAUUCCAGGUGUAGCGGUGAAAUGCGUAGAUAUCGGGAGGAACACCGGUGGCGAAGGCGGUCAUC
rnacentral:rRNA from 1 species